rnacentral:rRNA from 1 species
AGCAUAAUCAUUUGCCUUUUAAUUGGUGGCUAGUAUGAAUGGAUAAACGAAAAUCUAACUGUCUCCCUAAAAUAUAUAAAAAUUAGCCUUCAGAUGAAACAAUCUGAAUAAAAUUAAAGGACAAGAAGACCCUACAGAGCCUAACCCUAACAUUUAAAAAAAGAAAAAUAAGAGUAACCCAUAAGGUUUAGUUGGGGCAACUAAAAACCAUCAAAAGAGAUUUUUAUUUAAUAAAGACUAACAUAUCUAUUUCCAUGACCCAAUUUUUGAUCACAGGAAAAGGCUACCUUAGGGAUAACAGACUAAUCUCCUUUAAAAGCUCAAAUUUACAAGGAGGGUUGGCACCUCGAUGUUGGCUUAGGAACUCUAGGGGUGCAGCAGCCCCUAAAGAUAGGUUUGUUCAACCUUUAAUU